ensembl:ncRNA F02A9.9 ncRNA
AUAGAAAAAAGAAACAUUUUUUCCUAAACUUCAUUACACUAAAAGUGGUUUUUUAUAAUAGAAAUAAGGGAAAAAUGAGGUCUGCGUCUCGAAGGGAACGUGAUAUUUCAUCGGAACUCUCAUGGUUCAA